rnacentral:rRNA from 1 species
AACGAACGCUGGCGGCAUGCCUAACACAUGCAAGUCGAACGAGACCUUCGGGUCUAGUGGCGCACGGGUGCGUAACACGUGGGAAUUUGCCUCGGGGUAUGGAAUAACUCAGGGAAACUUGAGCUAAUACCAUAUAAUGUCUUCGGACCAAAGAUUUAUCGCCCUGAGAUAAGCCCGCGUAGGAUUAGCUAGUUGGUGAGGUAAAGGCUCACCAAGGCGACGAUCCGUAACUGGUCUGAGAGGAUGAUCAGUCACACUGGAACUGAGACACGGUCCAGACUCCUACGGGAGGCAGCAGUGGGGAAUAUUGGACAAUGGGCGAAAGCCUGAUCCAGCCAUGCCGCGUGUGUGAAGAAGGUCUUCGGAUUGUAAAGCACUUUAAGUUGGGAGGAAGGGUAGUAACCUAAUACGUUGCUACUUUGA